ACACGUUCCCCUGCCUCCAAUCUUUGUCCCUUCUCUACCUUCAAACCCCUAAACUAUAGUCCGCGGGCGCCAGCCACCCACUCCUUUAGUGGCAAAAAGUUUUUGAUUUUGAGACUUUACCAUCUGACCAGAUUCUCUCCGCAAACAUUACUGAUUCGAAUUUAGGAUUGAAGUCAAUCUCGAUGCCAUGACACAUCUAAGAAUUUGGAAGCCCAUUUUGAAGAAUGUCAGCACUCUAGCAGAGAAGUUCUCC